rnacentral:lncRNA from 1 species
ACAAACAAAUCACUAAAACACGAUUUUAGAUUGUUGGGAAAAUUGGUUAUUUGUGUGUAGAUAAUUUUAUCAAUUAGCAUAUUCAAUUACAUGACAUAAACAUAAAUUCAACAAUAAUAUAAAACAAGAAGAAGGUUAGAAAAUCAAGUUUUGAGAGUCGUGUCGAGGACGCUGUCCUAAAGUCGUAUUGCCUCCCCUUCGUGCGGGUCCUUUCGGCACUACACGGCUCCAAGAUAAAACUCAUGUAGCUCUCCUUCUAUAGGCACGACCAUAUGGAGAAAAUUGAACGAGCCUUUAUCAGUUGCCAAAAUUUUUAUAGAAGAAGAAUAGAAGAUAAUAUAAAAUGACUAGAGAGUAGUAUGAAAAGGGAGAUGUAUGAAAAGACUAAAGAGUAUAUUGUAUUUGAUUUUGUUGUGUAAAACAAUGAGAAAUCCACCUCCUUUUAUAGGUAAAAUCAACCCCUACAAUUAAGUCAUUAAAAUAGAG